rnacentral:rRNA from 1 species
UACGUAGGGUGCAAGCGUUGUCCGGAAUUAUUGGGCGUAAAGAGCUCGUAGGCGGUUUGUUGCGUCGGCUGUGAAAUCCCGAGGCUCAACCUCGGGUCUGCAGUCGAUACGAGCAAACUAGAGUGUUGCAGGGGAGACUGGAAUUCCUGGUGUAGCGGUGAAAUGCGCAGAUAUCAGGAGGAACACCGGUGGCGAAGGCGGGUCUCUGGGCAACAACUGACGCUGGAGGAGCGAAAGCGGUGGGGAGCGAACAGG